AAGUCGUAACAAGGUUUCCGUAGGUGAACCUGCGGAAGGAUCAUUACCGAGUAAGGGUCCUCGGGGCCCGACACUCCAACCCCAUGUCUACCUACCACGUUGCUUUGGCGGACCCGUCCCCAGGGACCACGGGGGAGAGACACCCCCCGUCAGUGUCCGCCAACAGCCCCAUCAAACUCGUGUAAAUUGUGUCGACCCGAACUUUUCGGGCCCAAAGACAAUCAGUCUCCAAAACUUUCAACAACGGAUCUCUUGGCUCUGGCAUCGAUGAAGAACGCAGCGAAAUGCGAUAAGUAAUGCGAAUUGCAGAAUUCAGUGAGUCAUCGAAUCUUUGAACGCACAUUGCGCCCUCUGGUAUUCCGGAGGGCAUGCCUGUCCGAGCGUCAUCAUCGACCCCUCAAGCCUGGCUUGUCGUUGGAUCCCAGCGUCCCCGCCCCGGGAACGGGUCCGAAAUGCAAUGACGGCGUCCUGACCGACCCCGGGUGCAACGAGCUCGAGUAGCACGCAUGCCGGCGGUCGGCGGACCCGGGCCUCCAAGCCGUGUCACCUUUGUCACAUCCAGGUUGACCUCGGAUCAGGUAGGAAUACCCGCUGAACUUAAGCAUAUCAAUAAGCGGAGGAAAAGAAACCAACCGGGAUUACCUCAGUAACGGCGAGUGAAGCGGUAACAGCUCAAAUUUGAAAUCUGACCCGUCGGGGUCCGAGUUGUAAUUUGGAGAGGAUGUUUCGGGCGCGGUGGCGGUCUAAAUUUCUUGGAACAGAAUGUCACAGAGGGUGAGAGUCCCGUCUAGGACCGCCGACCGCGCCCGCGUGAAACUCCUUCGACGAGUCGAGUUGUUUGGGAAUGCAGCUCCAAAUGGGUGGUAAAUUUCAUCUAAAGCUAAACAUGGGCCAGAGACCGAUAGCGCACAAGUAGAGUGAUCGAAAGAUGAAAAGCACUUUGAAAAGAGAGUUAAACAGUACGUGAAAUUGUUGAAAGGGAAGCGCUUACGACCAGACUUGUGAGGUGACGGCUCCCCCGGUCCCCCCGGGGCCGGGCUACUCCGUCACGUCCAGGCCAGCAUCGGCCCGGGUGGUCGGUGAAAGACCCCGGGAACGUACCUACCCUCCGGGGUCGACUUAUAGCCCGGGGUGUAAUAUGUCCCACCUGGACCGAGGAACGCGCUCCGGCUCGGAUGCUGGCGUAAUGGUCGCAAGCGACC
rnacentral:rRNA from 1 species